UUUUAAGUCUGAUGUGAAAGCCCUGGGCUCAACCCGGGAAGUGCAUUGGAAACUGGGAGACUUGAAUACGGGAGAGGGCAGUGGAAUUCCUGGUGUAGGAGUGAAAUCCGUAGAUAUCAGGAGGAACACCGGUGGCGAAGGCGGCUGCCUGGACCGAUAUUGACGCUGAGACGCGAAAGCGUGGGGAGCAAACAGGAUUAGAUACCCUGGUAGUCCACGCCGUAAACGAUGAGUACUAGGUGUUGCGGGUAUUGACCCCUGCAGUGCCGCAGCUAACGCAUAAGUAU
rnacentral:rRNA from 1 species